rnacentral:lncRNA from 1 species
AUACCUAAUUCCUCUGUGCCUUCCUCGCUUUCCAUUAACGGCUUCGAGAGGUAUGCUGGACUAUUAGCAACGCUGUCGUAUUAUGUGCUUUCUUGCUCAAGAAUGCGCCGGGCAUCUGGCUAUAGAAGGUAGUAUGGAGAUUCGCUAAUAUUCAAGCAGUCUAUCGAUUUUUGACUGUUGGAAUAUAAACGACUACAAGAAUAUAUCGUAAAUCUAUACAGAUGUCCUUUGAUUGCUCGUCGAAAUCCUUUUUGCUCCAGCCGGUAAGUCUCUAGACGUUACAGAGAACCCCGAACAAUCCAAUCUGCUAAUCUCCAAUACCGCUUUUUACUCACGACCUUGUAUCCACUGACUGUCUUAUUAGAUUAAUCCAAAAAUUUUCAUUCACUCCGCAUACUCAAUCCUAUAGACACCCUUUUAAUUCUUCAAUCAUAUACGUAACUUCGAUUUCACAAAACAGUCAAGAGUAAUCACACCCACUUCAUUAAAACCCCGAUUCACCAAUACAACACUGACUUUCAGCAACGAUUGCCUCAGUGUUUCCAAAAUCCUAUGAAGAAAAAAAAAAUCCCAAUUUUGUCUUUUUUCUCCCCCAAAGCAUGAAGCUAGCUCUCCGACCCUUGAAACCCUUAUUCUCCCCCCC